ACAGAGUGAGAGAGCUUUGUGCUAUUUCUAGCCAGAGCAGAUGUGGCCGGGGUGGGCUAUGGGGAGCAAUCUCUCUCAGGUAAAAAUAAAUUAUUAAGAUUAGGACCAAAAUGAUGCAAAUCCUUCAUUCACAAACAGAUCAUGAACUGGGAGCUGUGUGGAAAGACAACUGGAUUGGGAAUCAGGGUCCUGCCCUGGGUUUCUUCCAGAUUACCCUAGCAAUCAGCCAUCUGGUCUCGGGUGGUCACAAAACAUCACCAGGACCAAGAAGGGGAGAGAAACUUAGAGUCUACUUCUCUUAGUGGGCAAGUUCUGCAAGAAUGUAGAGGACUGGAAUAUUAAUGUGGCCAUUUUUGGAAAAGACAAUCUCCUCCAAGAAAUUCUGUCCUUUUGGAUGUUACCUGCACUGCAUAUCUGCAGAGAAAACAUGGAAAAUUAGCCAGAUUGUCUCAGUUGCCCAGUUGAAUGGACUCCUUCAUCUCUAUCGGAUCCUUCACUGGAGCCAAAGCAUGGUUGACAAGACCUAUGAAACACUACUGGCAUUGUGGCUACUGCUGAAAAGUAUUCGCUGAGAAUUCUCAGCAGCUCCCUUCAGCCAUGCUUAGACUUGGUUCUCUGGCGAUCAGGGUUCCUGAACUUGAAUCAGCAUACAUCAUCAAUGGAGUAUUUAAAUUGGCAUCAUCCUACAAAAUGUAGGACAUAUGUUUUCUACAUUUGGCAAGAACUUGGGCAACAUCUCUCAUCUGCCAGCACUUUAUGAUGUGCUGGGGAUAUAGAGAUGAAUGACCACAGAGCCCCUAUUCUUGAAAAUCUGACAGUGAGAAGACAGGAUAUUAGAACCUAACUAGAGGUACUUACAAAGUGUCACAUCCAGUGCUGAGCACAGCACUGACUAUACAUGCCGCCCUCAGUGCUACCCUGGAGUUAAUUAAGAAAACCAAAUUCCUAGGCACAUGCCUUUGACAAAAUGGUCUCCAUGAAACUUCCCAAGCUUAAUCUUCCCCAGCUGGGUUUCUUUUGGGAGGUGACACUGCUGUCAUCACCGAAAGUUCUCAACAUUUACUGCCUACCUUCCAGAGGCACCUCUUGCCCAGAACACGCCCUCUACAUGGUUCACACAGAUCAGUUAUUUCAUGAAAGAAACAAGUUUGAUAACCAUGUGAAGAUUUCUGGGGGGAGAGGGGGCACUUUUCUAGGUGAAGGAGAUUACCAAUAGUGCCUUGCUUCCCUGUGAAUCAGCAAAUGUAGAGGAAAUAUAAAUCAGAUCCCCUUCUCCUACUUAGCCAGAGCUGAACAAGGCGAGAACCCUUGUGCUCCCUGGUCCAUUAGCCUCAAGGGCACCUUUCAAUUCUACAUGGGCCCUAACUGCACAAAUGUAAACUUAUUAAUUUCCCCACUGGUCUAUCUUUUGUAGAUGUUGCCAGGAAAUGGUUUUUCUAUUGUUCCUUCUCAGCCUCUCUUACACAACAUUCCCUGCCCUCUCUCCCACUGUCUAGUCCUUGAGCACUUAGGGAUGCCAUGGCCUCCUGCUGGUUGCUCAGCUCGAUUUUUUUCCUUCUUGGAGAAGCAUGGAUUCCAGAGCCAGACUGCCUGGGAACAAAUCUCAGCUUCUCCACUUAGUAGUUGUAGGAUUCAAGUUACCCUUAUUCCCUUUAGCUCAGUUACUCCUUCUGCAAAAUGGAGAUCUACCACCUUUCUCUCCAGAUUACCAUCAUUGGCUUCCAAUUUGCCAACUUAGACCAUCAACUCCUACUGAAUUCAUCUCCUACUCUAAUUAUUUGCCAUCCAGAUUCAUGAUCAAAGAAUCACACACAGAACCAUCACUCUACUUAAGACUCAUUCUGCAUCUGAGUCUAGGAACUUUGUGAAAAAUCAAACUAUGCACCUAUCACUUGUGUAUUUUUUCUGUACAUGUGUUAUACUUCAGUAAGUACUUAAAAUUUUGGCAUUUUAGGGAUGCCUGGGUAGCUUAGCAGUUGAGCAUCUGCCCUUGGCUUAGGGCAAAAGGCCUUGAUCCCAGGUCCUGGGAUUGAGUCCCACGUCAGGUUCCCCUCAAGGAGCCUACUUCUCCCUCUGACUAUGUCUCUGCCUCUCUCUCUGUGUCUCUCAUGAAUAAAUACAAUCUUUAAAAAAA
rnacentral:lncRNA from 1 species